AGGCAAAACCUUGCCCUGAGCAGAGCACUCCAGCUGCUACCAUAAUGAAGGGAGCACUGCUUGUGCUGGCCUUGAUGGUGACCAGAGAGCUGACCUUCAAGACACAUGAGGUGGAAGCCUGCCCUGUGUUUUAUGAAACCCUUUUUGCUGUGAGCCUUGGACUCCCAAGUAAAGCAUUGAAUGAAACCUUGGAUUCAAUCGAAGCUAAUGAAGCUGAAAAAGCAGCCUUUGGGAAAAUCCGGGAUUGCUUCUUGAAGCAGAACCUGAAGACAGGUUUGAUCAUCUGAAAUAUAAGGUGUCCAUCAUUUUCAGUAAUGAUUGCAUCAGCUAUAAAUUGUCCUCAGUGGUGAAUGCUGUUAGAGGAUUGGCUUCCAGUCUGCUCUCUUUGGUGUGAGAAGCUUUGCUAGUUGUGCUGGGUCUGCACUUGAUCUUCCUGCCCUGUUCUCCUUCUGUUCCUGAAGCUGGAAUCCAGACACCUUCCCCACCUGAUGUGGCCUCUAUUAGGCUGAAUCUAAUAAAAACACUGCAACAUUG